CGUAGGGAGCUAGCGUUGUCCGGAAUCAUUGGGCGUAAAGCGCGCGUAGGCGGCCCGGUCAGUCCGUCGUGAAAGUCAAAGGCUCAACCUUUGAAUGUCGAUGGAUACUGCCGGGCUAGAGUCCGGAAGAGGCGAGUGGAAUUCCUGGUGUAGCGGUGGAAUGCGCAGAUAUCAGGAGGAACACCAAUAGCGAAGGCAGCUCGCUGGGACGGUACUGACGCUAAGGCGCGAAAGCGUGGGGAGCGAACAGGAUUAGAUACCCUGGUAGUCCACGCCGUAAACGAUGGGCACUAGGUGUGGGAGGUGUCGACUCCUCCCGUGCCGUCGCUAACGCACUAAGUGCCCCGCCUGGGGAGUACGGCCGCAAGGCUA
rnacentral:rRNA from 1 species